AGCAGCCGCGGUAAUUCCAGCUCCAAUAGCGUAUAUUAAAGUUGUUGUGGUUAAAAAGCUCGUAGUUGAACCUUGGGCCUGGCUGGCCGGUCCGCCUCACCGCGUGUACUGGUCCGGCCGGGCCUUUCCCUCUGUGGAACCCCAUGCCCUUCACUGGGUGUGGCGGGGAAACAGGACUUUUACUUUGAAAAAAUUAGAGUGCUCCAGGCAGGCCUAUGCUCGAAUACAUUAGCAUGGAAUAAUAGAAUAGGACGUGUGGUUCUAUUUUGUUGGUUUCUAGGACCGCCGUAAUGAUUAAUAGGGACAGUCGGGGGCAUCAGUAUUCAAUUGUCAGAGGUGAAAUUCUUGGAUUUAUUGAAGACUAACUACUGCGAAAGCAUUUGCCAAGGAUGUUUUCAUUAAUCAGGAACGAAAGUUAGGGGAUCGAAGACGAUCAGAUACCGUCGUAGUCUUAACCAUAAACUAUGCCGACUAGGGAUCGGACGAUGUU
rnacentral:rRNA from 1 species